rnacentral:rRNA from 1 species
AAGCUCGUAGUUGAAUUUCGGGCCUGGCUGGGUGGUCUGCUUAACGGCAUGUACUGUCUGGCUGGGUCUUACCUCUUGGUGAGCCGGUGUGCCCUUUAUUGGUGUGCAUUGGGGAACCAGGACCUUUACCUUGAGAAAAUUAGAGUGUUCAAAGCAGGCUUAUGCCCGAAUACAUUAGCAUGGAAUAAUAAAAUAGGACGUGUGGUUCUAUUUUGUUGGUUUUUAGAGUCGCCGUAAUGAUUAAUAGGGAUAGUUGGG